CAUGUAGGCGGUAUAUCAAGUCUGGUGUGAAAGAUCUCGGCUCAACCGAGAAAACGCACUGGAAACUGAUAAACUAGAGUAUAGGAAGGGAAGCUAGAAUUCCAGGUGUAGGGGUGAAAUCUGUAGAUAUCUGGAAGAAUACCGGUGGCGAAGGCGAGCUUCUGGCCAUAUACUGACGCUGAUAUGCGAAAGCGUGGGGAGCGAACAGGAUUAGAUACCCUGGUAGUCC
rnacentral:rRNA from 1 species